UGAACUACUCUCCCCCUUCCCUCUUUCCCCUGCGCAGUGCGCACUCUCUUCCCCACUGAACGGAGUAGCGUCCACAGCUUUGCACCAACGCUUUUGAAUGGAACGAAAAUAUUCCCGCAAGGCUGACUUCCCUGGGUAAUGCCACAUCAUAUUAUCCCUACGCACUGUGGCUUAUUCCAUUUUCUCUCUCGAGCUCUUCCCUCACUAUCACGGCAUAUUCCUCAGUUGAAAGGAAUAGAUCGUUGUGGGUUGGCGGUAAGCCAUAGAUCUCCAUCGGCGCACACCGGUGGUAAACAUAGUCAAGCUGUGCACCUGCACUCACUCCCAUUUUGUCUUUAGCUCUGAAAAAUCGACUGAACUCCUUUAUUGGGUAUUCUUCUCCGGACCUGUAGUCAGACAAGGAGGCAAGAAGUGUGAACUUUUUUGAAUCGCCAUCGAGCCACGAGUUCUCAGUUAACAAGAGGUUGCUCCUCCUACAAACAGUUGAAGUAUGAUGUGAAGUAUUGUAAAUGCCGAAAUAUAGUUCAUUGCUUAGAAGUUUAAAGCCUUAAUGUUUGUAUUGACAUUUAUUUAGUUGGAAUGUGAACAAGGUAAUCCACCAAUUCCUAAGUAGUCAAACCGAAGUCAGAUAUAAGCAAGAAUAGAUGGUCGUCGCAACUUUUUUUAUUGGGCAAAUCUCACUGUAACUAAAGGUGAAGUAACUUCGCCAGUGAACAAUGGCGGGAAUAUUGUUAAACACAUUCAUGAGUUAGAGAGAGGGGUGUCGGAGUGUCUCAGACAGAUGAGGACCAUGGUGGCACCUCAAAACCUACAAUUACAAGGGAUGAAGACAAUUAGGUUUAUAGUCAUUUCUUGUGUUGUUGCAUCCCUACUUUCAUAUAUAUUUAAGAACUAUGAGUGAUUUGUCUUGUUUGUAGAAGCUGAACCGUAAUGCAUAUGUGACCCAUGUAGACCCAAUUAUUCAUGUUUUGGCUGAACUGAAAUGUUGAACAAAUAUUGAGAUUUUGAUAGAUACAUGGGCAAUGUA